rnacentral:miRNA from 1 species
GAGAGUAAAGAUGAGAUUGAGAGAGAAUGAUAGGAGGGAGGAGUAAAAAAAGUGAAAACAAAAACAAAAUACUGAAAUCUAUUUGAAAUUGUUUUCACUUUCAAGUUUUGUUUUCACUUUUGUUACUCAUCUCUCCCAUCCUCCUCUCUCAUCCUCUCUCUCAGGGCC